ACUCCUACGGGAGGCAGCAGUGGGGAAUAUUGCACAAUGGGGGGAACCCUGAUGCAGCGACGCCGCGUGAGCGAAGAAGGUUUUCGAAUCGUAAAGCUCUGUCCUAUGAGAAGAUAAUGACGGUAUCAUAGGAGGAAGCCCCGGCUAAAUACGUGCCAGCAGCCGCGGUAAUACGUAUGGGGCGAGCGUUGUCCGGAAUUAUUGGGCGUAAAGGGUACGUAGGCGGUUUUUUAAGUCAGGUGUGAAAGCGUGAGGCUUAACCUCAUUAAGCACUUGAAACUGGAAGACUUGAGUGAAGGAGAGGAAAGUGGAAUUCCUAGUGUAGCGGUGAAAUGCGUAGAUAUUAGGAGGAAUACCGGUGGCGAAGGCGACUUUCUGGACUUUUACUGACGCUCAGGUACGAAAGCGUGGGGAGCAAACAGGAUUAGAAACCCCGGUAGUCCAGAAGUG
rnacentral:rRNA from 1 species